GUCUUGGGUAAGAUCCGGGAGAAUUCCCUGGAUUACCUGGCAGAGUCUCUUGUUCUCUUCCCUCACUUUCUCCCAUAAAGUCUCUCUCUUCUCAGUGAGCUGCAUGCAGUUGGGGGAGGAACGACACAAGCACCCCUGUGGCUACCCACUGACACUGUGCUGAGUCAGACCUGCCAGUGAAGCCAGUGAAGUACUGGGUCUCACCCGAGGUGACAGAUCCUGCCAGGACUGGAUACUUUCCCUCAAGACAGCAGGUUCCCUUCCGGCCCAUGGUAUGUCUAGAAAUGUCAUUGGGAGGUGGGGCCUGAAAUGGAGGCUUUAGGACUCUGCUUGGUGCUUUGUUUUACUGUGGCUACACUGGUAUCCAAGCUACAAGACAAAGUCUUCUUUACUCUUCCCUCACCUUUCCUCAAGUGGAAGAAGUCUCUCCCAGAGCUGUAAGCUGCACUGCCUGGGACUGGGAGAGGGUGAUGCAAGCACUCCUUUGGCUCCUCCAGCUAGUAUCUCUCUAGGUCAUGUGUACCCCAGGUCCACUGGCUCUGAGCCCAGCACAGUACCAGGAUGUGCCCAGGAAUUGUAGUCCUUGUGGCCUAGACUAUCUUUCAAAUUUAUUUAGGAGCUUACAGCACUUUAGCCCACAGCGGUGGGCUAGCUGGAACUCAGGUUCCAAUUGCUAGGAUGGAAGAUUCUUCUCUGGCUAGGGCUGUUCUAAAUGCAGCCUCUGUGGGCACCAGCGAAAUUGUGCCCUGCAUUGCUUUCCAUUCCGACAGACAGACCAACAAACACUGAGUUCCAAUACAAAGUGCCAUAGUCACUGUGCUCUCCCUCUCCCAAGCACAGAUUCUCUCUCAGCACCACACUCCUCCAUAGGGGAGGGGUGGCAUCAGCCAUUCAAGACUGUCUUUCCUACCCUCUUCAGUGCCUCCUUCCUUGGUAUAAUGUUAAAACCAGGUACUAUGAUGGUUCACCUGAUUUCCGGUUCUUAUGAAGGUGCUUUCUUGUAUGGAGAGCUAUUUAAUUUGGUGUUCCUGCAAGGGGGAUGAUCACUGGAGGGUUAUAUUUGGCCAUCUUGCUCCAUCCCCUCCUUCCUUCUAUUCUUGUCUGGCAUAGAGUAAACCCUCACUAAAUAUUGUUAUUCUUCCUAGCUAUAUGAUCCCCUAAAAGUUCUUUGAUGGCACUCUGUCCUUCACCUAAAGUGCUCCUUUACUCUCCUAUCCUGAACCCACACUCCUCCUCAUCUUUUCAAGGCUUCAAAACUAAUGCAGCAGACUCUCUGCCUCAGAGGAUCAGUUAUAUCAUAGUGAGAUAAGCAGGACAUUUUACAAAGAAACAAGUAGCUGUUCAAUAGAUUUCCAUGAACUCUGAGCACAGCCAACAAUCCCCGCCCCCCACUCCUCCCUACCCCCAAGUGUUACCAGGCUUCAUUCUUUAGGGUCAUUCCAGUCCUCCACUAAAUUUCCAUUAGUUAUUAAUCAUCUAAAGCUUUUAUCUAAAGUUUUCCAUUUAUCCUUCUGUCUCUGGCCCUGCAUUCCCCUACUUUACAGAGAUAUAUUUAAAAAACUGACACUGUAAAAGCAAACAGACAAGUGGGAUAGAAUACUGAAAAGUCAAGAAAAUGGAAAGCCUUUCUGAAAUUGAAUCACCUUCUAACAGCUAUUUCUAAUAAAAAAUGUAUUAGAAAGAAAGGGGAAAAAAAGGCUUGGAUCCCGAAAGACAGUUUGAAUCAUAACAGUGCGAGUGCGAGACAGAAGACAAUCACUUUCUACUCUCUGCUGGUCUCUAAAGGAAUUCCAGUUAGUUAUCCAAGAAUGGAAGAACACCGUGAGUCAGCCGUUCUCCUUUCCUCUUUAAAACAAAAACAAAAUUCAUCUUGGUCAUGUUAUCAGUUGUCUGUAUGUAGAGGGAAAAAAAAGGCCAUUUCCAGGUCAUUACCUAAAAUCAACUCUUCCAUUUAGUGGGGCCAUCUGGUAGCUGAUAUGAUUAAUUAUAAAAUUUCCAUCUCAUUCAAUUUAUUUUAGCUCUUUCUAUAAGUUACUUAACAUAGAAAUAAGAAAAUCAUAGCCAAACUAUAAAUUGAAGCUUGAUUGGUGUAAUUGGUAUGUAUCCCCCACCCUACAACAAAAAAAAUUCAAAGGGGACAGGGGAGAGAAAGGAAUGAUAGAUGAAGUUAAAGCAUCUGAAAUUCUAUUCUCUUUCUUGUUUAUACCACAGAGCAGCUCUCUUUAAAACAAAUCCUUCUGUAAUUUCAAAAGGCUUCAGCAAGUCUUCCAACUAGACUGGGUCAAUCAAAAUAAAAGGUUUAACACUCAUCUUGACUGUGUUUUUUUUUUUAAAUCAUGAAAUCAC
rnacentral:lncRNA from 1 species